UUGACUACUAACGCAGCCACCCAAGUACUUCUCGAUCCAGUCCACUGUGAGAGCACGUGGAUCUAUAUGGCGCGCGGGUAAUACCACAGCCAAGGGAACGGGCUUGGCAGAAUCAGCGGGGAAAGAAGACCCUGUUGAGCUUGACUCUAGUCUGACUCUGUGAAAAGACAUGAGAGGUGUAGAAUAAGUGGGAGUAGCAAUACGUCGGUGAAAUACCACUACUCUUAUCGUUUUUUUACUUAUUCGAUGAAGCGGAAGCGAACCGCAAGGUUCACGUUCUGGAUUUAAGGUCUCUCUUUUGCAGACCGAUCCGUGUCGAAGACACUGUCAGGUUGGGAGUUUGGCUGGGGCGGCACAUCUGUCAAACGAUAACGCAGGUGUCCUAAGGUGAGCUCAAUGAGAACAGAAAUCUCAUGUAGAACAAAAGGGUAAAAGCUCACUUGAUUUUGAUCUAUCGAGCGCUAUGCUCUAUGUUAGAAUCUACUUAAUCAAGUUAUCCAAGGAAUCUAGUUAGUUCUUGUGUGCAUAAAAUAUGUACAGGAUCCUGAACAAAGCAUGAGCACAUCAAAGAUGCUGAGAGUACAUAAAAAUGUCCCUAUACCUUCUUUUUAUGUCAUGACACAACAAGAACAGUAUAAUUAAGUAUCGAUAUUUAAAAAAAAAAAUAAAGAAAAAAAAAUAGGCUAUCAGCGGGAAUCGAACCCGGGUCGCUGAGU
rnacentral:ncRNA from 1 species